GCUAUGAUGAGCCAUUCCGCUUCGUACCCCUUAGGUACGAGGCGGUUGUCUAUCAUAAUGUGCAUAAAUAACCGCCAGAAUACU
rfam:Kluyvera ascorbata ATCC 33433 GKAS.assembly.074, whole genome shotgun sequence.